rnacentral:rRNA from 1 species
GUCUGUGAAAUUCCGGGGNUUAACUUCGGGGUGGCAGGCGAUACGGGCAUAACUAGAGUGCUGUAGGGGAGACUGGAAUUCCUGGUGUAGCGGUGGAAUGCGCAGAUAUCAGGAGGAACACCGAUGGCGAAGGCAGGUCUCUGGGCAGUAACUGACGCUGAGGAGCGAAAGCAUGGGGAGCGAACAGGAUUAGAUACCCUGGUAGUCCAUGCUGUAAACGGUGGGCGUUAGGUGUGGGGGCCGGUUUGGUUUCUGUGCCGUAGCUAACGCAUUAAGCGCCCCGCCUGGGGAGUACGGCCGCAAGGCUAAAACUCAAAGGAAUUGACGGGGGCCCGCACAAGCGGCGGAGCAUGUGGAUUAAUUCGAUGCAACGCGAAGAACCUUACCUGGGUUUGACAUGCACCAGACGGUUGUAGAGAUACGUACCUCCCUUUGUGGUUGGUGUGCAGGUGGUGCAUGGUUGUCGUCAGCUCGUGUCGUGAGAUGUUGGGUUAAGUCCCGCAACGAGCACAACCCUUGUCUUAUGUUGCCAGCACUUUGGGUGGGGACUCAUGAGAGACUGCCGGGGUUAACUCGGAGGAAGGUGGGGAUGACGUCAAAUCAUCAUGCCCUUUAUGCCCAGGGCUUCACACAUGCUACAAUGGUUAGUACAACGCGCGGCAAGCCUGUGAGGGUGAGCGAAUCGCUGAAAGCUAAUCUCAGUUCGGAUUGGGGUCUGCAACUCGACCCCAUGAAGUCGGAGUCGCUAGUAAUCGCAGAUCAGCAAUGCUGCGGUGAAUACGUUCCCGGGCCUUGUACACACCGCC